rnacentral:rRNA from 1 species
AUGGCCAUGGCCACCGCCGUGAACGAGCACGUCCUGCUCAGCCAUCCCGACAAGCUGGUCCUGCUCGCCGAGAUCCCGGCCACAGACUCGUGCGGCUCGUCCUCGUCGCAGCCCGACGUCACGUUCCGGCUGGUCGUCGAGCAAUGCAGCGACUACGGCGGCGGCCCCGCAGACGUCGACACGAUGGAGGACGUGUCCUGCCGCGUGCCGCUCCGCGCCCUGGGCCGCCGGGCCGCCGCCGACCGGGCGUUCGCAGGUCUCGUGGCCAGGCUCGACAACCCGAUGCUGCGCCCGGAGGUCACGACGGAGGCCAGGAGGGCGGCGGAGCGCGUCGGGGCGAGGCGCGGCGCGCUCGACGAGCUCGGCGGCAUGGAGUUCCGCCUCCGCGUGGUGUUCGUCGACGAUGACGCGUCCGAGGAGCAGGCAGCGUCGGACGACGACGACGACGACGAGAGCGGGAGCGACAUGGAGUUCGGGGAAUUCGACAUGAGCGGCGCGCGGAGCCUGCAUGGCCAGCGGGCCGUCGCCGCGUACGAGGAGGAGGACGACGACGAGGACGACUGCGGCGCCCAGUUCACGGUGCGCCAGUACCGCGGCGCCCGCGCGGGGGAGGGAGCGAACCUGCUGCUGUCGGGCUUUGAGGCUCGCUCGGACGGCCCCGAGCUGACCGAGCAGCACGAGCUGACGUCGCAUGACAUGCGCCGCCUCGUGCACUUGGCGCUGGAAGGGGGCGCGAGCAUGGAGGACGACGAGGCCUACCAGCGAGCGCUGGCCGGCGGCACGGCCGUGUCCCGGGCGUCGCGCGCCGCCAUGGUCGACCAGGCGCUGCAGUCCGCGAGCCAGCAGCAGCAGCGGUCCAAGUCACCGAACCCGAUCUUUCCGAUGCGUUCCGGAUUCUGA